AGUGAACGCUGGCGGUAGGCCUAACACAUGCAAGUCGAACGGCAGCACAGUAAGAGCUUGCUCUUACGGGUGGCGAGUGGCGGACGGGUGAGGAAUACAUCGGAAUCUACUUUUUCGUGGGGGAUAACGUAGGGAAACUUACGCUAAUACCGCAUACGACCUACGGGUGAAAGCAGGGGAUCUUCGGACCUUGCGCGAUUGAAUGAGCCGAUGUCGGAUUAGCUAGUUGGCGGGGUAAAGGCCCACCAAGGCGACGAUCAGUAGCUGGUCUGAGAGGAUGAUCAGCCACACUGGAACUGAGACACGGUCCAGACUCCUACGGGAGGCAGCAGUGUGGAAUAUUGGACAAUGGGCGCAAGCCUGAUCCAGCCAUACCGCGUGGGUGAAGAAGGCCUUCGGGUUGUAAAGCCCUUUUGUUGGGAAAGAAAAGCAGCAGGUUAAUACCCCGCUGUUCUGACGGUACCCAAAGAAUAAGCACCGGCUAACUUCGUG
rnacentral:rRNA from 1 species